rnacentral:rRNA from 1 species
UGGGGGAUAUUGGACAAUGGGCGCAAGCCUGAUCCAGCCAUGCCGCGUGAGUGAAGAAGGCCCUAGGGUUGUAAAGCUCUUUCAGUGGUGACGAUGAUGACGGUAGCCACAGAAGAAGCCCCGGCUAACUUCGUGCCAGCAGCCGCGGUAAUACGAAGGGGGCUAGCGUUGUUCGGAAUUACUGGGCGUAAAGCGCACGUAGGCGGACUAUUAAGUCAGGGGUGAAAUCCCGGGGCUCAACCCCGGAACUGCCUUUGAUACUGGUAGUCUAGAGUUCGAGAGAGGUGAGUGGAAUUCCGAGUGUAGAGGUGAAAUUCGUAGAUAUUCGGAGGAACACCAGUGGCGAAGGCGGCUCACUGGCUCGAUACUGACGCUGAGGUGCGAAAGCGUGGGGAGCAAACAGGAUUAGAUACCCGCGUAGUCC